rnacentral:rRNA from 1 species
ACCUCAGUAACGGCGAGUGAAGCGGUAACAGCUCAAAUUUGAAAUCUGCCGCAAGGCCGAGUUGUAAUUUGUAGAAGAUGCUUUGGAUAUGGCCCCGGUCUAAGUUCGUUGGAACACGACGUCAUAGAGGGUGAGAAUCCCGUAUGUGACUGGGUGCUUUUGUCUAUGUAAAGCUCUUUCGACGAGUCGAGUUGUUUGGGAAUGCAGCUCAAAAUGGGUGGUAUAUUUCAUCUAAAGCUAAAUAUUGGCCAGAGACCGAUAGCGCACAAGUAGAGUGAUCGAAAGAUGAAAAGCACUUUGGAAAGAGAGUUAAACAGUACGUGAAAUUGUUGAAAGGGAAGCGCUUGCAACCAGACUUGCACGCUGUUGAUCAUCCAGGCUUCUGUUUGGUGCACUCAACUGUGUUCAGGCCAGCAUCGGUUUUGGUGGUGGGAUAAAGGCCUUGGGAAUGUAGCUUCUUUCGGGGAGUGUUAUAGCCCUCGGUGCAAUGCCGCCUACCGGGACCUUGCCCGCGCUCGGCUAGGAUGC